AUGAAGGGGCCCCAAGACCUUCAGACGGCCAUGUACUAUGCCCGGGCGUUCGAGCAGCGCGCCCAGGCCUUAACGCGUCCAUCCGCGCCACAUGGGGGCCGACAGCUUCCCCAGCUGUCUCCGGCACUGUCCACAGCCGCCCCGGCACCCACCCCGGCACCGACGCGGCCAUUCAGGCGCCUCACUCAGGCCGAACAGUUGGAACGCCGGCGCCUGGGCUUGUGCUUCAACUGUGAUGCGCCCUAUGCACCGGGCCAUGUCUGUCCCCGCCUCUUCUACUUGGAGACGACGGACGAGACUGAGGAAGACACACUGGAGGAUGGCCUCGGCGCUCCAGCCCUUGCGGAGCCCGCAGUGGCACCCGCACCCGACCCGGCCACCGCCCUCGUGGUGUCCCUACACGCGCUGGCCGGCAUCCGUGAUGAACGGACGAUGCUCUUACCGGUCAUGAUCCAGGGCGAGCGCCUGGUGGCCCUCGUGGAUACAGGGUCCACGCAUAACUUCCUGCCAGAGACCACCAUGCGGCGCCUUGCAUUACAGCCAACCGGCGGUGAGCAUUUGCGAGUCACAGUCGCUAAUGGCGACCGUCUCCGCUGCCACGGGCUCGCCCGCGACAUGCCCAUCACUAUCGGCGACGAGCACUUCACCAUCACCUGCGCCGGCAUCGACUUGGGCUGCUUCGACUUCAUCCUCGGCGUCGACUUCCUGCGCACUCUUGGUCCUAUUCUAUGGGAUUUCGACGUGCUGACGAUGACCUUCUGGCGGUUGGGCCGCCGCAUUUGGUGGGACGGCAUUGGGGGUGCCGCCCCAACCACUCCACUCCAGCUGGCCGCGACCACCGCCACGGCCGAGCACCCACUAUUGGAGAGCCUCCUCCAGCAGUACGCGGACAUCUUCACCGAGCCACAGGGGCUGCCGCCCGCCCGCACGAUCACCGUAUACAUCUUCUGCCAGGCUCUGCGCCGAUGGCGGUACGGCCUUACCGCUACCCACAGUUGCAGAAGGAUGAGUUGGAGUGGCAGUGUGCGCUCAUGCUCGCGGUAG
rnacentral:rRNA from 1 species